AUGUUUUUGUUAAAGUUAUUAAUUGUACAAACUUAACAUCCGUUUUUUAAAUAAAAUAUUCAAUCCUGGAUUGUAGUUAGUCAUUAUUUUCAGCAGUCAAGCCAUCCAUUUGCGUUUCUUGUUUUUAAAAGUAUUUCUCAAAAACAGGGGAAGCUUCUGGCAUGUUUGGUACCGAUGUUACGUUGUUAAAGAAAACUAUGACUAAAAACUCCUAAUUCAAAUACUUCAGUUUCAAAGUUAAUCAAGAAGGAGUCACCCUAAAAAUACACGUCACGAGUACGCUGCUGCCGUUUUAAAAGAGAAAGUUUUGCUAUUUGCGAUUAAUAUUACUUCAUAAGUAAUUAGUACAUGUUUUGAUUGUGUUUCGUAUUUUAUUUUAUUUGUACCGGAAUUUUUUUUCAGAUUAAAACUAAACGUUUUGUUUGUAAAACUUGGUGUUUUGUUUCGCCUCCAACUCAAUUCCUACCCAAUUAACAACCAAUAAUUUAUCUUCAUAAAUCAACUUUUCAAACCGAUUGUUUCUUAAACCAAUCAAAACUUGCCGUCAGUCAAUGUCUAUUUUUGUAACGAUAAUGAAGCAGGAGAAAUACGGAAAACAGAAUGGAACCUAACUGUAAAACUAACGAAUAAAAUACGUAUAUAUACUUUUAAACUUUAUGUAUUUUAAAUGUUUUACUUUGAUUUUCAACGUUAAUAUGUUAUUACCGAUUUUAAGAUCAAAGUGUGAGUUUGAAAUCUGCUAUUAGCAAUAGACAUAAGUUUGAAGCUGAAAUAUUUGUGUCACAAAUGUCGCUUAAUAAAAGAGUCUCUAAAAAAUUAUUAGAAAUAGUAUUCGUAGAAGUAUACAAGUUCUGUGGAAUGCGUAUUUCUGUCUGGCGAUAAUCGACAGUGCAAUUGUGAUGCUGUUAACCAGAUGUUUAAACAGUUCUUAAUAAGCUUAUUGGUUUUCUUAAAUUUAUGAUUCUAUUUUAAUAAUUUAGUAAUACCUAACAAACAAAUUAUUAGUGGAAUUACGCUAUUUUUUAUUGUAACGUUUAUGGAGCAUCAAGAAAGAAGUGAAAAUUAAUACAUGGGUUUAAUGGGCAAUUAACUUCAGAAGAAUGGUAUCUGUACGCUUAAAAACUAAAACGUAGUAUAAUUAUAAAUAAACAAAAAAUAACAAAUUUUAUUA